rnacentral:rRNA from 1 species
UAGCUUGCUAUCAGGCGUCGAGCGGCGGACGGGUGAGUAAUACUUAGGAAUCUACCUAGUAGUGGGGGAUAGCACGGGGAAACUCGUAUUAAUACCGCAUACGUCCUACGGGAGAAAGGGGGCAACUUGUUGCUCUCGCUAUUAGAUGAGCCUAAGUCGGAUUAGCUAGAUGGUGGGGUAAAGGCCUACCAUGGCGACGAUCUGUAGCUGGUCUGAGAGGAUGAUCAGCCACACCGGGACUGAGACACGGCCCGGACUCCUACGGGAGGCAGCAGUGGGGAAUAUUGGACAAUGGGGGAAACCCUGAUCCAGCCAUGCCGCGUGUGUGAAGAAGGCCUUUUGGUUGUAAAGCACUUUAAGCAGUGAAGAAGACUCUUCGGUUAAUACCCGUGGACGAUGACAUUAGCUGCAGAAUAAGCACCGGCUAACUCUGUGCCAGCAGCCGCGGUAAUACAGAGGGUGCAAGCGUUAAUCGGAAUUACUGGGCGUAAAGCGAGCGUAGGUGGCUUGAUAAGUCAGAUGUGAAAUCCCCGGGCUUAACCUGGGAACUGCAUCUGAAACUGUUAGGCUAGAGUAGGUGAGAGGGAAGUAGAAUUUCAGGUGUAGCGGUGAAAUGCGUAGAGAUCUGAAGGAAUACCGAUGGCGAAGGCAGCUUCCUGGCAUCAUACUGACACUGAGGCUCGAAAGCGUGGGUAGCAAACAGGAUUAGAUACCCUGGUAGUCCACGCCGUAAACGAUGUCUACUAGUCGUUGGGUCCCUUGAGGACUUAGUGACGCAGCUAACGCAAUAAGUAGACCGCCUGGGGAGUACGGCCGCA